GGAGGGGGUUUGAGGGGGGUGGGGAAGGAAAUUUGGGUGGGGAGGGGCAUUGAGGUGGGGGAGGGGCCUUGAGGUGGGGGAGGGGCUUUAAGAUGGAGGGUCUGGGAAUAGUGGGGAGGGGCUUAGAACAUGGGUGGGGGAGGGGCUGAGGACCCCUCGAGGUGGGGGAGGGGCAGAGGACCCCUCGGGGUGGGGGAGGGUCUCUGACCGCCCCUUUCCCCCUCUCCGCCCCUCCCCCCAGCCCGUCUUCGCCCCGAUGCUCCCGGGCAGCCCCCGGCUCCACCCCUCCCCCACCCUGGUGGGCGGGCCGCCCCUCCCCCCUUCGCCCCUCCCCCGCCGGACCCGCCCCCGCAGCCGCUCUACGGUGAGAGACGCCCCUCCCCCACCCCAAUUUUGGGUGGGGGGAGGGGAGUGAAUCCCCCUCCCCCUCCCCUCCCCCGCUCUGUCUGACCGCGCCCCUCCCCCACAGCCGCGGUGCACCCGCCCUUCCCCCCCCCCGGGCCGCUGCACCCCUCCCCCACCCCCGGGGGGGGCUCCACCCCCGCCCCCGCCGCACCUGCGCAGCACCAAGGAGCCGCCGCCGCCCCUCCCCCACCCGCCCCGGGGCUGUUCAUUGGCGCCGCCCCUCCCCCACCCCCCUCCUCCGCCCCUCCCCCACCCCCCUCCGCCCCUCCCCCGCCCCCUUCCGGCGCCCCCUCCCCCCAAAGCGGCUUCGGCCCUACCGCCGCCCCUCCCCCACCCCCCCCCUCAGCCCCCUCCCCCCCCUCCUCCUGCCCCUCCCCCCACCGCCGCCGCCCCCCCCGCCCCUCCCCCACCGGCGGCGGCCGCCGCCCCUCCCCCACCGCCCCCCCGGCCGUGUUCGCGCUGCACCCGCACGGCUUCGGCGUGGCCCAGGUGGGGGAGGGGCGAGAAAUUGGGGGGUGGGGGAUGGGCAGUGGGGAGGGGCACUGUGUCCAAUUUUGGGGUGGGGGAGGGGUCUCUAAAUGGGGUGGGGAGGGGCAGUGGGGAGGGGUAUUGUCUGAUUUGGGGGUGGGGGAGGGGCACUGUUUGAUUUUUGGGGUGGGGAAGGACAGUGGGGGAGGGGCACUGAUUUUUGGGUGGGGGAGGGGCGUUGUGUCCAAUUUUGGGGUGGGGGAUGGGCAGUGGGGGGAGGGGCACUCAGAUUUUGGGGUGGGGGAGGGCAUUUGGGGAUGGGCACUGUCCAA
rnacentral:lncRNA from 1 species